AAACCAGGAUUAGAUACCCUAUUAUAAAAAUUUAAAUUAAUUUACUAAAAAAUUAAUAGUUAUGUUCUUUAAAUUUAAAAAAUUUGGCGGUAUUUUAGUCUUAUUAGAGGAACCUGUUUUUUAAUUGAUAAUCCACGAUUAAUUUUACUUAUUUUAAUUAAUUCAUAUAUCGCUGUCAUGAAUAUAUUAAAAAAUUUAUUUUCUUUAUUUAUUUUUAUAAUUUAUGUUAAGUCAAGAUGUGGUUUAUAAAUAAGUUAAUAAUGGGUUACAUUAAAUUUUAUUUUUGGAUUUUAAAUGAAAAUUAGAAUGAAAUUGGAUUUAAUAGUAAAUUUAUUUAUUUAGUAA
rnacentral:rRNA from 1 species